GAAUCGAGUCCAAUCACGGAUCUAAUAGCAAAAACCAAAGCAUAUUGUACCACAAUCGAUUUCUGAUCCUCGACUACUGAGGUACAAAGUUAUAUAUGAAAAAAAAAAAAAAAAAAAAAAGAACAAUUGACGAGUUAGAAUAUAUGGCUGUAGAACCUUAUAAAUUAAGUUGAACAAAGAGGGAAAACAAAAAUAAACCCUAAAAGAUUAAUUAAUCUCGAUCUUCAAUUCGAGAACGCAAUUUUGGUGGCAGAUAGGUGAAUAGAUGGAUUAUGGCUUACUAGUGAAAAAGAGAAGAGAGGGCCGGCGGCUCGAAACAGAUGAGAAAGCAAGAGAUGUGUACAAUCCUCGAUCGAAGACGCAGUUUGAGUGGCAGUCCAAGACGUCACCACCACAAACUAGCGCUUAAGGUCCCGAGCGC
rnacentral:lncRNA from 1 species